rnacentral:sRNA from 1 species
AAAAAUGAAUAUUGCAUCAUCUCGGUGAAAACAUGGUUUUGCGGACCAUGCCGAGAAUCCUUUCAAGGCGGGGAUGAAAACGAAAAGGGAUACCUUGGAAACAGCCCCUGCAUAUGCAGUGAUGCAUAUGCUGAAGCGGAGAGAACUCCCAUGCAGGAGAGGAUGUGCAGAUGCAUGAUGCUGAUAGGACAGUAUACGUGAGGUGGAACAAUAGAAGCAAUAUUUAAAGAUGUUGCCGAAUCUGAGUCAGGUAUCAGCUUGGUAACUGGUACAAACCUUAGAAAGACCAAUAAUCCAUAGGCGGUGAAACAGCGAACAAAGCUGUGUAUAACUCAUGUACGAAACUCCAAGUAGGGAAAAACGCCAGUCGGUGUGAUGCCACGCGCCAGAAAUCGCGUUUCUACUGAAUCGCUCCUGAAAGGUGCCGUUAAUCAGUACGGUCUGAGCCUGGAAGAUAUCUUCAGGAAUGAAAUGUUGCAGGGUCGCUACCUGUAGCACAGGUCAUUCUUCUCAGUAGUCUAAUAAUCAGAAAUCAUGUAUCGGUAAGGCGAAGGUCUGAUGCAGUAUUCAUU